ensembl:lncRNA
UGCAAAUAUAAAUGAGCUAUGUGUGUGGAGGUAGAGAGGAUGGAGACAAGAGAUUGUAUUGUUGUAUUGUUGCAGAUUGAUGUUCAGCGCAGCCCCCGAAUUUUUCGUUUUCCCUUUUCGUGCUCUUUCACCCAUUUUCCCCACAGCACCACACAUCGAACAAAAACUCUGGUUAAACUGGGAUGCACUUUUUCGGCACGCAUCCUGAGGUUUUAAGGUUCACGCUGGCCUGUUUGGAAACCAGUCUCGACCUGUAUUGAAACCUCUCUGUGCAUGGGAGGCUUCGAUUCAUACUCACUAUGGAGUUUCACAGCGGCUUUCCUCGUGGGCCACGUGUGAAUGCAUUUAUUUGUAUUUGUUUGGAUGAAAAUACGUAGAAUAGUUAUUAUGUUAUAUCUGGCGCCGCUUCCGUUCAACAGAAGCAGCUGCCUAUAUUCAUAGCAAUGUAUAAAUAUGUAUCUUUCAUAUCAUAAUGUUGAAAUAAUCUAUAUAUCAAUGUUAAUAUACACAAGAGGUUAUAAUAAACAUAGUAUUACUGAAUACCUUAUUAAUUCUAUAUCUAUAUACCAACUUUUUGUUUGAUGGUUUGAACAGGCCAGGACAACCCCUUUGUGACUUGUGAUUCUUUCUAGAGUGCAAUAUAUGAUCAUGUCUGUUAGGCUAUACAGAGGUCACGCUCGACUCAUUUGUUUUCAUUACCCAUUCUGGCACCGAAGAACCGCAACCCAAUUCUCCGAGGAAAUAUGGUGCUUUCCUUGUCAUAAAUCAUAUGCUAUUUUAUCAGUAACAUGAAAAUCACAAGUCAGUAGCUAUCUGUGAGGAUUACUGGCUCUGUGGGCUUUUAGAAAGAUCAUUUUAUUGCUGAGGAAUUCUUGUUCCAUACAGUGAGUUUAUACUCUUAUCUUAGAAACCUUUCAGUGAAGGCUGAGCAUGUAAUAAAAUAGGAUUACAUGGACUUUUUAAAGUGUUCUCGUAAUGUGCCAAACUCAAAUAUUACCUCCAUGUAUGAACACUGUUGUACUGCAAGUUGAAUUUUAUGUUCUAUGCUAAAAUAUGGUGCCAAAUAUGUUUCUAUUUAAUUUUUCUAUGAAGAUGCGUGUGUGAGAUUUUAAUAUGAGGCGUCAUUACUUCUGUAAGCACCAGAGGAGCUGAUUAAUACUGUCCCAUUUAAAAUGUCCUCAGAUGAGGUUUCUGAAUGUAAGCUUUAAUUAAGUUGGUUUUCCUUUUCAAAAAACACACAGCAGCCGUUCUGUCUUGUGAUGCAGUUGACUUGAACCAACUUUUUUUGUGCACUUUCUAUCGUUUGUUUGUCCAGACAGGGUAUUUUGUUGAGCGAUUUAUGUACCUUGAAAUCAGAGCCAUAUAUAUUCUGAUGUUGAUAAUUGAUGUAUUAUGCUGAAAAAAGGACAUGCAGUAUGUAAUAAAGCGUGGUGGUUUCAGCCUGUGUUGAUUUUUUAAAGUGCAUCUUUAAUAGAAAGUAUAGAAAAAAGAGCAUUUUGAAUCUUCAGUUAGCAUUUUGAUAAUCAGCCUUGCCAUUUUUUAGGGAUAGAUAUUCUAGAUAAAGUGCUAUGGGUGGAACACUGAGACUCGCCUUGUUAGUGAGAAGCAACAGGCUAAUCAAAUGCUAGCUUUUCACACACCAGAACUAAAGCACAAUCUACUGGAAAGUCCUUAUAACACUGC